AGAGUUUGAUUCUGGCUCAGAACGAACGCUGGCGGCGCGUUUUAAGCAUGCAAGUCGAGCGGCAAGGGCUUUCGGGCCCCUAGAGCGGCGGACGGGUGAGUAACACGUGGACAAUCUGCCCCCCGGCCGGGGAUAGCCCAGGGAAACCUGGAUUAAUACCGGAUGAGACGGGACCCGCGGAGGCGGGAUCCGGGAAAGGCGCUGCGGCGCCGCCGGGGGAUGAGUCUGCGUCCCAUUAGCUUGACGGCGGGGUAACGGCCCACCGUGGCGACGAUGGGUAGCCGGCCUGAGAGGGUGUACGGCCACAUUGGAACUGAGACACGGUCCAGACUCCUACGGGAGGCAGCAGCUAAGAAUCUUCCGCAAUGGGCGAAAGCCUGACGGAGCGACGCCGCGUGAACGAAGAAGGCCGUGAGGUUGUAAAGUUCUUUUCGGGAGGGGGAACAACCGUGGCAGGGAAUGGCCGCGGGAUGACGUGAAUCCCGGAAUAAGCCCCGGCUAACUACGUGCCAGCAGCCGCGGUAACACGUAGGGGGCGAGCGUUGUUCGGAAUCAUUGGGCGUAAAGGGCGUGCAGGCGGUCCUGCAAGUCCGGCGUGAAAGACCCCGGCCCAACCGGGGGGGCGCGCUGGAAACUGCAGGGCUUGAGUACAGGAGGGGAUGCCGGAAUUCCAGGUGUAGGGGUGAAAUCUGUAGAUAUCUGGAGGAACACCAAUGGCGAAGGCAGGCAUCUGGCCAUGUACUGACGCUGAGACGCGAAGGUGCGGGGAGCAAACAGGAUUAGAUACCCUGGUAGUC
rnacentral:rRNA from 1 species